GGAAGCGGUACGGGCUGCGGUUCGUCCCACACGAGGCCGGCCUGGGCCUCACUGCCUUCAAGGUCCCUUCCAUCCUGCAUCUCCACCGACCUUGUGUGGCUGCUGCCUGCUUUCCAACAUGGAGGUUGUUGUUAGAGGAUCACCAUGUCUUACAAACACUAAAAAGAACAGCAUGCCACUCAGUGCCUGGGAAACAGGCAGUUGCAUUACAGUUACAGUUAUCCAAAAUGUGUCAGAAAAAGAGAAGUUCUCUGCAGAGGAAACCUGGCGUGCUGCAAGAGAAGAAAAUAGAGAAGCUGGAUCAUCUUUAACAACAAAAUACCAGAGAUCUCUACUGAACCCAGAGAUAUCAGUGACAAAUCUGCCCUGGCUUAUCCAUUAAUACAAAGAAAAGCAAAACAAAACAAGAAGACUUUCCUAAUACCCUAGAAACUUGAAGGCAUUAUUUCCUACAGUAAGAGGAAAAAUACCAGCUUUCACUACUUCUAGCUGCUAUCUAAAAUUCCCAGGUACCUCAUUUCCUUUUAUGACAAAACCAAAACCUCCAAUAAAGAAGAGCUGCUGAAAACUCUCUCUUGCUGAUUAGGUAGAAUUAGGAAAGGACUAAUGAUAUAUUUGCUAAUGAUAACUAUUAACAACUCACUAGAGAAUUUUCUAUCAAAUCAAAGAGUUUCAUAACUCUUCUGCAAAGAGCAAAACAUUACAGCAACCAUUUUUGUCACAUGCCUGUGUGUAGUGGGGAUUUAAGUUAAUAUCAGAAAGACAAGUGAUUAAGCACUGCUGCAGAUCUUGAGAUCAUUGCUCAGUCCAAAUGCUAAGAACAUACAUUAAGGCUGAUCACCCUUGAGCCAGGGUUACCCAUCACUGUCAAACCAUAGAGCCAUCAGAUAAACUUUUCAUUUACAUGUCACUCAUUUUCCUUCCCACUGAGCUCUAUGUCUGUGCAUCGGCCACUGCCUUCAUCUCAUAGAAAUUCCAGUUUGUGGUAGCUCUUGCCCAGAGGUGCUGGCUUUUCUGCAGAAGCUAUAACGAUUCAGGCUGCCAGCUCUGUAGGUCACUGGCCAUAAUGACAGUUGCAACAGUUUCAGCUAAAACAGAAAAUCUCUGCAGAACUAAGGGGAAAAUGUCUUUGCCAGUGUAUGGAAGGCAGAUGUGUUGGUCAGUUGACACAGUACAUUAGAAGCAUACCUGACUACUACCAAAGUUACCUAAAUGGAAGCUAAAUAAGUGGAAGCUUAAAGGUGGGGUUUCUAUUUCUUUUCAAUUUCUGUGGUCAACGAAAGUAUAAAUGUUAUGAAGUACCACAGUUCUUUAUUAUAGAAGCAUGGAUUCUAUUAAUAGCACUGCUGAUAGGAUGAAAGUAAAAAGGGAAUUAACAUACCUUUAUUUUUCUUAAAUUCUUAAUUCUAUCUCUUUAGAUUUUCCAGAUGAGGUAUUUCCUGAUUCAAAAAUAACUGAGUAAACAUGGCUUUGACUAUGGAGGCCUUCCUUUCUCACAACAAAUUGAAAUUAUCAUGAAUAUUAUUGAAAAUUUUUUAACAACCAACUGGACUUGAAAUACUGUGUCACUGUCAUUUUUUUUUAGCUUCAGUUGCAGAACUGAAAAUGCAUCCUGUUAUUUUAAAAAUAAAAACAACACAAACAUUUAAUUGUCUCAGAAUCAGUGUAUUGAGAAUGAAGACAAAGAAAUUCAAGAAAUAAACUUGUUAAUUUUUUAUAUUUAUUCUGACUGGUUUUCUACAAAACACCAUAUUAAUUUUAAAACUGAUAUGAUUACAAUUUUAUGACUUCAGCUUAAUCAAAGAACAUGCUUUAUUGUAUAAAAGAAAAAGAAAAUGCUCUAAAUUAAGAGACAGGAAAACAUUAAUAACAUAUUUCACUGGCAGCUUGAUCUACUGAAGCCUAUAUUGGAUGACUAAAGAAAGGAAAGUGGCUUAAGGUGCUUUUGUUCUUGCUUGAUGCAGGAUAUAAAAACUUAUUCAGAAGGUGUAGGAAGGACUUGACUUUGGUUACAUCUCGCCCUUAGUAGUUUUCAGUCUCUUUCAAGUCUGUCAGAGGGACUGUGAAUCACUGUCCUCUUCCUGCUCACCUGCUCAUUUUCUUCAGACAAUGUUUGCUAGGAAAUAUUAAAGACAACAGUAGUUUUACUAAAACAUACUACAUGUAGGAAUAGGAGGACAACAUGACUGGAGCAGCAGUCUAAUCUCAAUCUCAUCAAGAGAUCUAGCUGAAUGCAUGGAAAAGCAUUUAUAAGACUCAAGUCAGGAUGAUGACAGUGCUGCACUUUCCCAUUAUAGGUUCUAGCUGAGAUAGACUGUGAAAAGGCUGUACAUGGUCUGUAUCAUCUUCCCAUGAGUUAUCUGAUUGCUGUUUGCAAAUCUAGCAAUAAAAAAUUGCCUCUAGAGCCAGAUUAACUGGCUAAUGAAAAAUAACUUUUUACUGCUAGUCUGCAUUGCUGCAAAGUGGUAACCAGACAAAGUACAGCAGUGACUCUUUCUCUUUAUAAGAAAGAAUUUCUCCUUACUAAAACUCAAAAAGGUUUACUGCCAUAAAUCAACAAGGAGCCCAAUAGCAGUGUUUUUGGUAGUAAUCAAAGAUUGGCUUGUGAGAGUUGAUAAGCACUUUUAUACUAAGAGUGAAGGACUGGGAGAACAAUACUGAUAAAGUCAUGUGUUUUAUUGCUAGGAAGUGAAAAGGCUUAAAAUGUCUAGGAAACUGCUAGUAUCUUGAAGGUUCCUACCAAUGGUAGGAGGCUAUUCCGCAUACCUACAUCUUUCUCCCCAGUUCCUCUCUACUGAGCCAUACUAAUCAAAGCAGCUUCCUUCCCGCCUUUCUUACUGCUGAGGCUUCUCUGCUGUUCAGGCCUUGCUUCUUUGUACCACUAUUUUCCUGUCGUUAUAUGAAAUACUAAGUUUGUUAAGCAGAAAUGUAUUGAGAGGCAGGAGAUGCUGUGUUCUCUUCCUAGGUGUACUGCUACCUUUUUCAAACACGAGUCAUCUUACCUUCCUGCUUCUUUACAUAACCCCACCUGCUCCCUGAAAUUAUCAUUCCAAAUUCAUACUUUAAAAGAUAAAUGCUGAUCAAAACACUGGACUUAAACCAACAUCCAUUUGCUUAUUUUAGUCAAGUCAGAACAGGAAAUCUACUGAAUAGGUCUUCUUGCAUCCUGAAAGAAAAGGCAUGUGAUCUUGCAAGAUGUUGAACGUCUUCUGGUAUAGGCAGAGUUGUUAACAACAUGUUAACAUUUGUUGAAGCCUACAUGAACUCCAAACUGGCAAAGUCUCUCUGUCUAGUUAGCAAUUUAGAAGACAAACGACCAUAUUUCUAAUAAUUUGAAGAAAAAUGUCAGAUGCUAUUGAAUAGUUCUUUCAAUAUACUGAAAUCAGCUAUGGAAGACCAACUAUUAUCACAGCACAGACAGGGAAAUUGUAACGGAAAAGAAGCAGUGAAGGAAUAGGGCUUAGUUAGUCCUGAAAAAGAAUAUCUGUAAUCUAUUUUUGCCCAAUGAAGUUUUAAAAAUUAACACAUUGAAACAACAAGUAUAAAUGCUGAUUUGUACUGAUCUUUUUCUGUAAACAUACUGCAGUAGCUUUAGACAUAUGGGCUUUGCAAAUGGUAUCCAAGCUGUGUGUAGUUCUAACCAAAAGCUGAACAGUUAGACUCAUUAUUUUCUAUCCAUGAAGAGAAAUUAAGAAGCUCAUACAAUUUAUAGAAAUGCUGUUUCACAUUGGGAAAAACUCUCUGCUUUAUUCUCAAAAGCAACGUUAGU